AUACUAUUCUUUUUAAAACUCAAAAAAAGAGGUAACCUAAUAGAGGACGAGUAUAAUAGAGAUAUUAAAAAAAAAACGUACUCCUACCCGACCACCGCCGUCUGCCCCCGCCGGCGCCUCUAAUACCACCGCGCCUCCAUGAAGGAGUGCGCCAGCGUACGCAAUGCCUUCGAUGUUUUACUGGCUUCUGCUCGAAGAAACCGGCCUGAGCUCAAACGCUUUAGAUCUACUGAUGAUGCUGAUGAUAAUGGCAAGAAACCAAAAUCAACCGCAACAGCAACAGCAACAGCAACAGAGACAGAGACGACAGUUCGUUUGAACUCGUUUGAUCAACUUAAGGCUACGGUACAGUUGUUAAAGAGAGAACCGAGCUCGUUUGAUCUCGAGGCUGUGGCUAGUUGUUUACUUGGUGGAGGCGACAGAGACGCAAUGGUGCUUCCUUUCGUAUUUGUUUGCUUUGCUUACGAGCUCAUGUCCGCCGAAUCUCAACGAACUGUAAUUAAAAACAUUGGUUGUAAUAUGUUUAGGGUUGCCAUCACUUGUUCUUCUUCCCCGCAGGAGACUUUACUCGCAAUUUUACGGCUUUCAUCUUAUAAAAUUGUUCCACUUGAGGAGGGAGGAUCGGAUCAGCUUGGUAUAGGGGAACAUAACAUUAUUAAGGCCAUUGCAAAUGCAUAUGGUGCAGAUUUAGCUGCCACAAAACGCCGCUUUAAGGAAGUCGGAGAUUUGGGUCUUUUGGCUCAAACCACUCGUUCUUCUCAAUCCAAGUUAUUUAAUUUCAAAGCCAAGCCUUUAUCUGUAUCACAUGUUUACUCUAGCUUUCAGGAGAUUGCCGAGGUGUCUGGGAAUGAUAGCAAAAAGAAGAAGAUACAUAUUCUAGAGCGACUUCUUGCUGCUGCCAGUAAUUGCGAACCCAAGUACCUAAUUCGUCUUUUACUGCCUAAGAAAGGUUUGGGUAUCGGAUUUUCAGAUGCCACUAUUAUAGAUGCAUUAGGAUGUGCAGCUGUCUUUCUUGAGAAAGAAAAUCCGCCUACUUUUCAGCAGGCUGUAGAGAUUGUCAAACGAGCUUAUGCUGUUCUUCCUGUCUAUGAGAAGAUAGUUAAUGCUCUAUUUAGUGUUGGUGUGAGGAACCUUCCAAAGGUCUGCGGUCUUUCAUUGGGUAUCCCAUUAGAGCCGAUGUUAUCGAAACCAAUUGGAUCCAUAGCUGAUGUUGUGAAUGAAUUUGGGAAUGUACCUUACUCUUGUGAAUACAAGUAUGAUGGUGAAAGAGCUCAGAUACAUUUACUCGAGAAUGGCAAGGUUGAAAUUUAUAGUAGAAGCCUUGAACGUAGUACAGGGAAGUUUCCAGACGUUGUUGAUACUGUAACAAGACUCAAACGACCUUGUGUAAAGUCAGUUAUUCUGGAUUGCGAACUUGUUGCCUACGACCGUGACGAAGGAAAAAUUCUAUCUUUUCAGAAACUCAGCACUCGCAGUCGUAAGAAUGUUGAUAUUCAUGAUAUUAAGGUCAAUGCGUGCAUAUUUGCAUUUGAUUUGUUAUAUCUGAAUGGUCAAUCGCUUCUUGAGGAACCGCUCACUGAUCGUAGAGAGAAGUUACAUGCAGCAUUUGAGGAGGAACCUGGAUAUCUUGAGUAUGCAGCUGAAUUAACAUCAACUAAUGUAGAAAUGUUGCAAUUUUUCUUGGAGAAAUCUGCUUCUGAGAGCUGCGAGGGUCUGAUGAUUAAACAAUUGGGCAAGGUCUCCAUAUAUGAACCUGGAAAACGCAAGUGGCUUAAGUUAAAGAAAGAUUUCGUUGAAAGUAUGUGGGACUCGCUUGAUCUAGUACCUAUUGGUGCUUAUUCUGGCCGUGGCAAGCGUGCAGGUGUUUAUGGGACAUUUCUUCUUGCUUGCUAUGACCCUGAGACUGAAACGUUCCAAACCGUAUGCAAAGCAGGCUCUGGGCUUUCUGAUCAAAUGCUGCUUGAUUUUCAUGACAAUUUUCAGUCUAAGGUCCUAACCAGUGCAGAGCCUUACUACAAAUAUAAUGCAGACGGAGUUCAACCAGACGUGUGGUUUGAACCCUCAGAGCAGGAGCACAAUAAUAAUAAAUGAAAACAGAAAUAGGCUAUCAGUAAUGACACUUUAGCACCCUUUCCAGGCUCCAGCUCUAGUAGCCAGCUCAUGGGCCUUAGCAGUGUCAAUCCUACUAACCUUAAAACCUUUUACAUCAGCUAAACAUGUUACAUCAUGAUCAACCCUAUUAUGGUAAACCAUCGACUCACACAAAUAGCAGAAGGCUUCUUCCUUGAAUAACUGGAAUGGUCUAACAUGGAGGAAAUACCACCCUUUCUCUUCUUAACCGGAAUGGUUCUUCUCUCUUCUCUUAUCUUUUGGAUUAGUAGGAUGAAUUACAGUUGACAUACCGGAUAAUGUAGACCAAGUAAAUCCGUUUUCGGACGAGGCUCCCAUUUUCUCACUAGUACAGGGAACACGUGUUUCUUCGUGGAUAAAUUUAUCUUGCGUCAUUUCACCCAUUCUUGAAAUGUCUGUCCCAUCUUCAUUAUCCUUGAGAUAGAGUUGAUAUGCGAGUGAGAGGUUAGCAUCAGCUAGAGAUUUCUCCUCUUGUGCUAGUCUCUUCGAUUCCCUUGAGCUUAGUUCAUCUUGGACUUCACUCAAUAUGGGUGACGAGUCUGUAAGCGCCUUUACUGGGGCCUCCGUCAUGAUUUUUGCUUUUGGGUUGAACCUUCAAAUAUGACAUUGAAUUGGGAUCAUAGAACUGCAGCUCCCUUCCUUUCCUCAUCCUGUCAAUGUCUUUGUCGGAUAUUCUCAUGAGCAUGGAUGGAUUCUUUUUGUUCACAUAACUUAGCUUGCCUUUUUGACAACGAGCGGUCGAGGCGUGCUCCUUUUUGAGUCAUUUACCUUUCCAACUUCCAUGCUUAUCUUGGCAUUAGCUAAUGUCUGACUUCAAGCUUUGUUUUAGAUUUGUCGACAUUUUCAGAUAUGUCAACUACUUUUGUAUCCCCAUCAAAGGAAUGUCCCACUUGUUUUUCUAGCUUUGCUUUUUGAGGAGUAGAGCUUCUCAUCUCAUCUGAGGGAGCUUGCAUUUGAUCUCCCAAAGCAUUCCAAAUCACAUCCUUUUCUUCGAAUUCCUUUUCUUUAGAUUCCAGUCCCUUAAGAAGCAUUUUUUCCAAGUUCGUUAGUUCCCUGAGUAUCUUCUUGUUUUUUGGUUUUAAGUCCCUUGCUUUCCUUAAGUCUUCGCACGCAUCUUUCAGGUUCCCCGAUUUCACUAGACUUUGUCCUCUUCAAAACUGAGCCUUUACUAUUCUCUCAUCAAUCUCCAAUAUCAAUGAACAUAAGACAACGACUUGCUUCAAUUUGUUUAGCUAUAAAGCAGAAGCCCCUAAAUUCAAAUUAAGGUAUAUUACUAAUUCCCUAAGCACGGGAUUGUUCCACAUUCUAAAAGUGAUUCACACACUUCAGGAAUAGCAAUACGCUUUGUUAUAAUUGGCAAGAGCAUUGUUGAAAUCACUUAACUUGUGAAGUUGAUUUCCUUCAAAUUUGAGAGUUGAUGCGUAAUGAAUGUUUUCUUGAGGUCCAUCAAAAUCCUUGUAGAACUGUUCAACUUCUUUGUCAUCCUCAUAUAAUGAACUCCAAUGGUGAGCUAAAACUGGAGCAAGCCUAGAGUCCUUCUCCAAACCCUUUAGUUGAACCAUACUAGCAAACUAAUAUAUCCCAAGAAAGCAAAAUAUAAAACUCGAAAAAACAGAGCAAGCAACAAACAAAAUCCAAAUAGGUAGCAGGAGACAGAAAAACACCAACUAUUCCUCUUCGAAAUUCCUAGUUUCUUUUAAAGAUUUUUUAGAAGUGGGAGAAGGAAGAAGUGGAAUUGAAUUUGUAGAAGACUUAAGCAGAUCUGAACAUUUUCUUAAAAUCCUAUAAGGCCAACAAUUGGUGGAGAUCAGAUAGAGAAGAGAGCACCUGGGUUUCCCCUUACUACAGGAUCGAUCGAGUGAGAGUAGCACUGGCUCCCUGGCGCCGGUUCUACAGAGCAUGCCAUUGCCAGACGCCGGCGAGCCUGCUCAGACUUUGUUGUUUGGUUGAAAACGCGUGGGGUUAGGUGUGGGAGGUGAAAGCUGGUGGAAUAACAAUCAGUCCGGCUUAUUCUGCAGCUGUUGGUUUAGUUGAUGGUGUUGAUGCUGAUAAGGGUCUCUCUUUACGCAAUCCUGUUGUACUUCGUGUGCGUGCGGACAAGUCUCC